rnacentral:rRNA from 1 species
UACAGAGGGUGCGAGCGUUAAUCGGAAUUACUGGGCGUAAAGCGCGCGUAGGCGGCUUUGCAAGUCGGGUGUGAAAUCCCCAGGCUUAACCUGGGAACUGCAUUCGAGACUGCAUUGCUAGAGUAUGGGAGAGGGAAGUGGAAUUUCCGGUGUAGCGGUGAAAUGCGUAGAUAUCGGAAGGAACAUCAGUGGCGAAGGCGGCAUCCUGGACCAACACUGACACUGAGGAGCGAAAGCCAGGGGAGCAAACGGG